GGUCUGUGAGCAUUCACAUUUUGCUGGGAGUCUGGAACCAAUAAGGAGUGUGUUCUCAUUUCCGCCAAUGGAAAGCAAAUCCUCAGGAAAGCUUGGGGAUCUCCUUCAGAGCUGCUGAUUCAUUUCUCCCUCACAUCUAAACGUGCACUGCCGCAGAAACCAUGAAAAAGAAAUUGGAUGACAGACAAAAUGAAACUCGUCCUAGGUCAUGUAUACAGUAACAAACAAAAGAGAAAAGCGUCCCGGGAGCCUUCAUACAGUAGCUGAUGGAGGUAGAAGCAGAAAACAACAGCUAACCACUUAACUGAACUUCUGGAAUGCAGUUGCAGAGAAGGAGUGAUGAGCAAAGAGUGAAGAUCAAACUGGUGAAACCCACAGAAACAGAUGUCCUGAACAAGGUGAUGCAUUAGGAACCAAUGAUGUGAGAGGUCUCAUACCCAGGAAUUGAAACCAAAUGACUGCAGUUGAUUGGAGAGCUCCAUCUGUGCUACUGACUCACAGGACUCCCUAUCCUCCCUGUGUGUUUUAAAAGAAGCAAUGAAAUGGAAAGUUCAACAUGGGAAUUAAGUGAAAUACCCUCUGAUAUAUCUUGAUUGACAGUAGAAAACACUAGUUAAUGGUUGGCUGGAGAAAUUGCCUCCUGAGAAAAAGUUGGGGUGCUAUGCUUGGAAGAACACUGACCUUCAACAAACAAAAGCUCCAAAAGAAGUUUAUGUUUGAUAUCAUUACCAAUGAGGACACCUUCUACCUGGUGGCUGAGACAGAGGCUGACAUCAAUAGGUGGGUCCAGAGCAUCUGCCAGAUCUGCAGCUUCAGUCAGACUACACUUGCACCAAUGCAUAAAAUGCAAGGAAUGCCUGAUUCUCUCAGAGCACCAGACAGGAGAGUGAAACAGCCACACAAAAACUUGCCCAGGGCAAUAGACACUGUACAACACUGUUAUCAACACUGUACAACACUGUCACAGUGAGGAGAACUAUGUCCCUAUGCAGAACCCAAUGUCUUCAUCCCCUGUAUCCAGUGGCACUAACAGUCACGCUCCAAUAAAU
ensembl:lncRNA